UACGUAGGGACCAAGCGUUGUUCGGAAUUACUGGGCGUAAAGGGCUCGUAGGCGGCCAACUAAGUCAGACGUGAAAUCCCUCGGCUUAACCGGGGAACUGCGUCUGAUACUGGAUGGCUUGAGUUCGGGAGAGGGAUGCGGAAUUCCAGGUGUAGCGGUGAAAUGCGUAGAUAUCUGGAGGAACACCGGUGGCGAAGGCGGCAUCCUGGACCGAUACUGACGCUGAGGAGCGAAAGCCAGGGGAGCAAACGGG
rnacentral:rRNA from 1 species